ACAAAAACAAAAAGUAGAAAGCAUAAAGUGCUGAUUUUAUUCUUUGACAGCUUGAUUCAGUGGUGAACUGCUGCUCGGCACAGAGAGAGAAGAAUACGACAAAAACAAAGACACAUCUGUGCGCCUGCCUAUGAAUACUCUUAAUCGACACUGCUGGCACGCUGCGAGAGACCCUCCGGUCCAUCUGCGGCCGCAUGCGAGAACAAUCAGAGGAGCCUACCUGCCACAUCUGCCCAGUGCUCCACAUCCAUACUAAGUGGAGACGUCUCAGCAACAGGUGCCACUGAAACAACCACGAGAUCUUGCGCUUUACGUUUCAUUCAUGCUGGCACCUGAAGCUGGGGGGGGCGAAGACAUCUGUCAUGGAUAUUCUGCAAGAGCCACGACAAACAAUCACGGCAGCCAGCGCUGAACACAUGCUGCCAAAAAAAAAAAAAAAAAGCGUUCCGCGUAUCUAAAGACGCCGUUGAUCCGUUAUAAUUGCAUCGACAAAGCACCUGAGGAAUCUUACAGAGGGCCCUCCUGGCAUCCCUCCACUCUCCGACAUACAGACGGCAUUGUGUGUCAGAGGAUGGUUCGCUGGAGCGCUGUCGAUAUCCAUGUGCUCGGAUAUUGAUGACAGCGUUAAGUCACAGUGGGUGAUCGCUGAGGUUUGGCUGGACGGACUCUGCGAUGAUGUGGACCUCAGCAGCCAUGGUGUGUAUGAUCAGGAGCUACAGGAGCCCCUGUGACAGUGACAGAAGGAAGUUGUGCACUUGGAGUUGACAACAUCUGGAAGGCUGAAAGAAUCUGGAAAACCUGUUGGAGAGCUGAACGACUGCCUUAAUAAGAGAAGAAGAACAACCGCUGACUGGAGGGCUGAAUCGCGAGGACCACAGGUCUCCACAUUCCUGGACCUGGCUCCUGGAUACAACAAGGCACCGCAGCAGGCAGCAUCUUAAACCAUUCAAAUGAUCUCCGCUCAAUAUUGCAUUCCUGCACAUGCACUUCAGUGAGGGUUGGUGUUCCAGCUAUCGCCACAAUUUUACCUCUCUUCCUAAAACAUACAGAUGUAUAUAUUUAUUCAUUAGAAGCGGUAAUAAUCACACUGUUGUCAGUUGUAUACGCUGACCUCAAAGGGGCCAUUCAUUCGCUACCUUCCAUAGCUCGAAAUGUAAUGAAUGAGCUGUUUGACUGAAGAAAAACAAAGUCACAUUCAAGGAUACAAUUUGUCUCUCGUUUUCUGUUAUUUAGCGCAAUUACAGAGAGCCAAAAGGUUUUCACUUUUUGCUCGUUUCCACAGCAACAUUUGCUAAGUUUGGACAGAGAUGUAAAAUGUCUCUGCAGUUGAGGGAUAAUGAGCAUAUUUCCAGAUUUGCUUUUUAUAAACACAUGCUACUUUUAACUACAUCACAGUGAAUGAAAGACGACCAGUUUACUUGCCUGUAUCCACAGUCCAAAAUCUUAAUUUCCCACUCAUUUUAAACAUAAAUAUUUGAGACUGUGGGGCACAAUGAAAGGCAACCCACUCCUCAUACUAGUUACUAGUAAUGAAAAGGCUUUUAAGAAAAGCAGAAAGGGUCACAGGAAAAGGUUUCUAAAAAGGUGUAAUUUGUAAGAAAUGGCCAGAAUUUGAAAGUAGCUCAAAAAUGAUAGAGGUCUGCAUAUUGGUCAACUGUGGCUCACUAUAUGUUUUGCUGUAGGGACUUCCUGCUGGUAGCAAGUAGAUCAGUUUAGCCGUGGAACUAAGUGGCCUCAUUAGCUGACAGGAGUUUGCCAGGAUCACGACCUCAGAUCAUGGGGGAAUUCACCACCGGCAACAGGACCACGUCAACUGGCCUCCCAGUGAUCACAGCUGAGUGCCAGGCUGAAGACAGGGGAUGCAAUGCAGAGGUGGUUUACAGCGGCUUUGACCAGGACUAUGACUCCAGGGACUCUGGAGAAAACAGAGCAGACUGGGACAGGAGAGGCCUGAAGUGGCAGAGGACUGAGCGCCCGGCAUCAGAACACCACGUAGAGCCAGAGUAAUUUCGACAUUUUACUUUGACCAAACCAGAGAAGAUCGUAGGAGGACAAACCGAGACUGUUGAGAUUCAUUUUGUUUAUGUCGAGGGAACAAAGUGUGUUUUAAGAUGCAUUUACAAGGCAAUUAAGUUAGACUCUGUUGGCUGAAAAAGAAAAACUUGAAUUCAGUAGGUUGUAUUUUUUAUUCAGUAAAGAAAACAGGUGUAAAAAUAUUUCCUUUUUUGACAUUUGUGAGUUCAUUUUGUUUACUUUCUGCUUUUACUUCUCCCUGCUGGAGCUAUGGGGGCCUCUUGCAGUACAAAGAAAUAUUAGGAGACAGGAUGGGCCGGGACUAGCUGGUUAGCACGCUAACUUCAUCCCUUCAGUACAGUAGAGACAUCUUUGAAAAAACAUCAACACUGUAGCUUCAUAACACUCCUGUUGAGAUUGGGUUUUUUUUCUUUUUCCUCAAUUCUGGCCAUAUCUUACAAAUUGCCCAUUUUAAACAUGUUUUUUUCCCCCC